CCUACGGGGUGCAGUAGUGAGGAAUAUUGGUCAAUGGGCGCGAGCCUGAUCCAGCCAAGUAGCGUGAAGGAUGAAUGCCCUACGGGUUGUAAACUUCUUUUAUAAAGGAAUAAAGUGAGGCACGUGUACCUUUUAGUAUGUCCUUUAUGAAUAAGGAUCGGCUAACUCCGUGCCAGCAGCCGCGGUAAUACGGAGGAUCCGAGCGUUAUCCGGAUUUUUUGGGUUUAAAGGGAGCGUAGAUGGGUUGUUAAGUCAGUUGUGAAAGUUUGCGGCUCAACCGUAAAAUUGCAAUUGAUACUGGCAGUCUAGAGUACAGUUGAGGUAGGCGGAAUUCGUGGUGUAGCGGUGAAAUGCUUAGAUAUCACGAAGAACUCCGAUUGCGAAGGCAGCUUACUAAACUGCCACUGACAUUGAGGCUCGAAAGUGUGGGUAUCAAACAGGAUUAGAUACCCUUGUAGUC
rnacentral:rRNA from 1 species